rnacentral:lncRNA from 1 species
GGCCUGGCGGGAACCUUGCUUGGCCACUUGGUGCUCCUGGAGGUCACCAAAAGCUCUACUUUGGAUCUCACUUCUGACAUCAUCUGUUAAAAGGGAAACCUUAGCCAAAUUAAAUUUUAUAGAGUUUAAUUGACCAAAGAAUUAUUCAUGAAUCAGGCAGCCUUCCAAGUAGGCUCAGAGACUCCAGUGAAGCCAAGAGAUAGAAGAUGAUUGAAGGACAGAAAAAGGAAAAUGAUAUAUAGAAAACGGAAAUGAGGAGCUGAUCUUUAUUCUCAGAAGAUGCAGACUUAAGUAUUUAAGAGCAAAGCACCAUGAUGUCCGCAAUUUACAACCAAAUUGUAAAGCAUAGAUAGAUAGAGAAUAAAUAUGACAAUACUUUGACAAUUUUAUUGAGCUAUACAACCUCUGAUUGUGGCAGAUGCUUAACAGAUAUUGCUCAAUUGCUUUCUAAAGAUGUUCACCCAGCACACCUCCACCAGCAACGUCUGAUUGCAUUAUUCUCCUUGCAUUGAACUGUUUAUGAAUGUAAAAUAAAAUCUUGUUCAUUUCAUUUUCUUGUCAACUAAUACAUCUAACCAUCUUUUUGUAUGUUUGGUGGCCAUUUGGAUUUGCUCAUCUGUAAAUUUUCUUUUCAUAUUCUUUACGCAUUCUGCUAUGGGAUUGUUCAGACUUACCACUUUGUGAAAAACACCAUAUCUCUUACAGAUAUGGCUUCAUUUUCUGUAAUAUAAACCUAGCAUUUAUCUGCUGACUUUAUGUAAUUUUUCACUCUACAGGAAAUGAUUUUCAUCUUAAAAAUAUUUUAUAAUAUUGAUACAGGCAGGAGACAGGGAAAUACUGGGCGGCAGAAGGCAACUCCCUGGCAAGGGCCCCGCCCUCAAGCCUGGAAACCCGAGGCCCUAAAUUGGAACAGGCAGUCCUGUUUUUGGCCCAAAAGUUGCCUUUCAGACUGCCGUGCCCGUCUAUUUUGUACCCAUAUAAACCGCAAAUCCUGGGCUCCAAGAGCAGAUGAACAGAAGAGCAGAAGAGUAGCAGAACUGAGAGGCAGAUAAGUGGGGAGCAACUUGAGGAGGAGCAGUCUGGGGAGGAGGGAAGAAGUCAAACGGGUUGGUAGAAAAGGAAGAUUCAAGACUCAGCAAUGCUUGGGGUUGAGAGUGAAGGGACAGGUGGGAGGGAAAGAAGGAAGAUUUGGGAUGAGUCGCACUGGGAACAGAGAUUAGGGAGGGAACAAAGUGUGAAAAAUGCCCGGAUGUAAGGCCCCUCAUACCGUUUGCCCAUUUUUUGACAAAAAUUAUCUAGGUUUUGUAGGAUGGAGAAAUCGAAAAUGCUGUUUUCUGGCCAUUUAGAGCCAUUAUCAAGUUUGUAUUGGGGCCAAGCAGUGUUGCAGAAGAAAAUAAGACACUUAGGUUUUAGGUCAGGUGAGAGUUGAAGAGGUUUUAAGUUUUUUAGAACACAGGCUAAAGGAGGAGAAGGAGGAAUGGAGGGUGGAAGGUUGCCCAUAGUAAAAAGGUAAGUUUAGAGAAAAG